GUUAAGGUGGCAGAGCCCGGUAACUGCAAAAGACCUAAGCCCUUUACACAGGGGUUCAAAUCCCCUCCCUAACU
rnacentral:tRNA from 3 species